rnacentral:tRNA from 1 species
GCCUGGGUGGUGUAAAGGGUUAACACACUUGGGUGCUAGCCAAAAUAUUGGAGGUUCAAAUCCACCCAGUGGUA